rnacentral:misc_RNA from 1 species
CGUGCCCGUGCGCCGAACGGUCGGCAGGCGAUCCCCGUCGGACGCAUGAGGUGGUAUGGUUCCCCAGAGGCUGGUUCUUGUGUUGCCUGCCCCUUCAGGGGAAGCGCUCCACUUGACGGUUAAGCCUCCAUCCGGCGCCCUCCAACGGGCGCAGGAGGACAACGUAGCACCCCCCGCGUUCCACCGAGCCGUCGUCGGUCGCGUGGCCCGCGGGGACGUGCGGUGCUCUCGGACCCAGCGCACGCCGUGGGCGGGGACUCACGUCCCGGUCCCAAGAGAAGCUUCGUUAUAGUGCUGACGGCCGCUCCCGCCCCCCGACCGCCCCGGCGGUGAGGGGGUGAGGCGCGGCGUCGCGGAGGAAUGCUACCU